GACGAACGCUGGCGGCGUGCCUAAUACAUGCAAGUCGAACGCUUCUUUCCUCCCGAGUGCUUGCACUCAAUUGGAAAGAGGAGUGGCGGACGGGUGAGUAACACGUGGGUAACCUACCCAUCAGAGGGGGAUAACACUUGGAAACAGGUGCUAAUACCGCAUAACAGUUUAUGCCGCAUGGCAUAAGAGUGCAAGGCGCUUUCGGGUGUCGCUGAUGGAUGGACCCGCGGUGCAUUAGCUAGUUGGUGAGGUAACGGCUCACCAAGGCCACGAUGCAUAGCCGACCUGAGAGGGUGAUCGGCCACACUGGGACUGAGACACGGCCCAGACUCCUACGGGAGGCAGCAGUAGGGAAUCUUCGGCAAAGGACGAAAGUCUGACCGAGCAACGCCGCGUGAGUGAAGAAGGUUUUCGGAUCGUAAAACUCUGUUGUUAGAGAAGAACAAGGACGUUAGUAACUGAACGUCCCCUGACGGUAUCUAACCAGAAAGACACGGCUAACUACGUG
rnacentral:rRNA from 1 species